rnacentral:rRNA from 1 species
UACGAAGGGGGCUAGCGUUGUUCGGAAUUACUGGGCGUAAAGCGCACGUAGGCGGAUUUGUUAGUCAGGGGUGAAAUCCCGGGGCUCAACCUCGGAACUGCCUUUGAUACUGCAAGUCUCGAGUCCGGAAGAGGUGAGUGGAAUUCCUAGUGUAGAGGUGAAAUUCGUAGAUAUUCGGAAGAACACCAGUGGCGAAGGCGACUUACUGGACACAUAUUGACGCUGAGGUGCGAAAGCGUGGGGAGCAAACAGG